rnacentral:rRNA from 1 species
UACGUAGGGUGCAAGCGUUGUCCGGAAUCACUGGGCGUAAAGGGCGCGUAGGCGGCUUUAUAAGUCGGGGGUGAAAGCCUGUGGCUCAACCACAGAAUUGCCUUCGAUACUGUAGAGCUUGAGACCGGAAGAGGUAAGUGGAACUGCGAGUGUAGAGGUGAAAUUCGUAGAUAUUCGCAAGAACACCAGUGGCGAAGGCGGCUUACUGGUCCGGUUCUGACGCUGAGGCGCGAAAGCGUGGGGAGCAAACAGG